UGAGCUUGAUCCUGGCUCAGGACGAACGCUGGCGGUAUGCCUAAUACAUGCAAGUCGAACGCUGAAGCACUCUGCUUGCAGAGUGUGGAUGAGUGGCGAACGGGUGAGUAACACGUGGGGAACCUGCCCAUAAGAGGGGGAUAACAUCCGGAAACGGGUGCUAAUACCGCAUAGGUGAUCAUAGCGCAUGCUUAGAUCAUUAAAGAUGGCUUCGGCUAUCGCUUAUGGAUGGCCCCGCGGCGUAUUAGCUAGUUGGUGAGGUAAUGGCUCACCAAGGCUGUGAUACGUAGCCGACCUGAGAGGGUGAUCGGCCACACUGGAACUGAGACACGGUCCAGACUCCUACGGGAGGCAGCAGUAGGGAAUCUUCCACAAUGGGCGAAAGCCUGAUGGAGCAAUACCGCGUGAGUGAAGAAGGUCUUCGGAUCGUAAAGCUCUGUUGUUAGAGAAGAACAAGAGGUGUAGUAACUGGCACCUCCUGACGGUUCUACCAG
rnacentral:rRNA from 1 species